ACUGGAAACAGGUUGUCUGAUGUUACUCUGUGGUUGAAAAUCAUGGAUGAAGAAGUUGAAAAUACAGAAAAUACUUUGGAGAAAGAACAACAACGGUGAAAAGUAAGAGCAGGGACUUAUCAGCUUGGAGCGAUGACGAGGUGGGACGGUUACUG